rnacentral:rRNA from 1 species
GACGUAGGGCGCGAGCGUUGUCCGGAUUUAUUGGGCGUAAAGAGCUCGUAGGCGGCUUGUCGCGUCGUCCGUGAAAACCUGGGGCUCAACUCCAGGCUUGCGGUCGAUACGGGCAGGCUAGAGUUCGGUAGGGGAGACUGGAAUUCCUGGUGUAGCGGUGAAAUGCGCAGAUAUCAGGAAGAACACCCGUGGCGAAAGCGGCUCUCUGGAACGGUACUGACGCUGAGACGCGAAAGCGUGGGGAGCGAACAGG